rnacentral:rRNA from 1 species
CAAGCGGCCUGCUUAUCAUAUUAUAAUCGUUUUUCGGGGUGCGGCUCGGGAAUCGAACAGUAUUUGCCCUAUCCCCUUUCGAGGCGAGGAUAUUGGAGUACAGGCAGUGAAGGGUAAAGGGGAAUUUUGGUAUGGUUCUGGAGGGGGGGCCUCAAAAAAGACUAACACCACUUAUAAAGGCGGCCGGGGGCGAAAUAAUUACCCAAUCCUGACUCAGGGAGGUAGUGACAAGAAAUAACAACACUGGAAAUUGUAUUUAUAGUGAUUGGAAUGAUGGGAAUCCAAACCCCUUUCAGAGUAACAAUUGGAGGGCAAGUCUGGUGCCAGCAGCCGCGGUAAUCCAGCUCCAAUA